CCGCACUUUCCUUUCUUACUUCCCCCCCUGGCGCACGGCACGAGUCGCACCCCCCAUUUUCCUCGUGCGUCUUUGUUUAGACAAAGCUUAUUGGAAUCUCUGCUCCCCUCUCCCUCUUCCCCAUCUCAACAAACACCCCAACUAAUUAGCCGCGUCGAAAGCCAUCACUGUCCUGGAUUUUCUCAGCACCGAGAGCAGGAAGGCCCCCCAAACCCACCGCCAUGGAGCGCAAGAACUCCUUCCGAGGGAUCCAGGGUGCGAUCUCGCGGAUAAACCCGGAGCUACUGAGGAGCGUCAUCACCUCCGGCACGGCGGCGAAGGGCGGACCGGAGGCGAGAUCGCCGCCGGGAGCCGCCGCCUUCCGGCAUGCUACUGCGCCGCUGCCGGUGAUGACCUCUGCUUUCAGAUCGGGUUCCAAGGGGACGGCGCCGUUAACUAUCUUCUACAACGGCACGGUCGCCGUCUUCGAUCUUCCUCAAGAUAAGGCGGAAACUAUACUGAAGCUGGCGGAGAAAGGGAACGUCGGCGGCGUCGUGGAAGCGUCCGAUCCGACGUCGGCGUCAGGUCACCAAGAGGAUCUACUGGUGAAACUAAACGGAGAGCUCCUGCCUAUCGCCAGGAAGAAGUCAUUAGAGCGCUUCUUUGCCAAGCGGAAGGAAAGGUAUGCAUGGCUUUGCUCUCCGUUGCUUGUGAGGUCUUUCCUCUCCUUCUUUUAAUUCGAUUUGGGAGUGCUCCCGUGCUAACAAAUAAAUACCUCCCCCCGUCAUCCUCCUUUUUAUGUCCUCCCUGCUUCUCGACGCGGCGCGUGGGUCGUCGUUCGCUGCUCUCCCGUCGUCGUUGGUAAACGCUGACCGUGUGGCAACUUUACAAAAAGGCAGAGCGUGAAGUGAGCACGGCAUUGGUGAAGGAGACAAAGACAAUAAUAGCUGCCUAACUAUAUGUCUAGGCAAUCACGAGGGACUUCUCUGCACUUUUCUUAUCCUAAAGUUCCUAAGAACAAUGAUCUAUGGGUUUGUUUGGGGGUUUACUUGAGAUUUUCUGUUAUACAUACAUGUAAAAAGGGCAUGCUGGUACAAUUUAAGUAGACUCAAAAUUGUAUCUUUAAUUAAAAGAAUAUCUGGUACCGAGUCACUACAACAAUGUGGUCUAUUUGAUGUUUCAAAAAAAGGAUCAGUACAAGUACUUUGUUUUACUA